GUACGUAGGGGGCUAGCGUUGUCCGGAAUUACUGGGCGUAAAGGGCGCGCAGGCGGCUGGAUAAGUCACACGUGAAAGAUAUCGGCUUAACCGGUGGAGGUCGUGUGAAACUGUCUGGCUUGAGUGCAGUAGAGGGAAGUGGAAUUCCUAGUGUAGCGGUGAUAUGCGUAGAUAUUAGGAGGAACACCAGUGGCGAAGGCGGCUUUCUGGGCUGCAACUGACGCUGAGGCGCGAAAGCUGGGGGAGCGAACGGGAUUAGAUACCCCGGUAGUCCCAGCCGUAAACGAUGAUCACUAGGUGUAGGAGGUAUCGACCCCUUCGGUGCCGAAGCAAACGCAUUAAGUGAUCCGCCUGGGGAGUACGUCCGCAAGGAUGAA
rnacentral:rRNA from 1 species